rfam:Absidia glauca strain CBS 101.48 genome assembly, contig: contig_9
AGGAGUAUAGUUAAGUUGGUUAUAAUAGGGAUCUCCAAAAUCUUUGUCGUGGGUUCGAAUCCUACUACUCCUG